CAUGUGUAGCUAACCAACAGCAGAGUAGUCAAGACAGAGAGUAAUUAAUUAUGAGGAACAACACACAAGAGAUAAGAGACUGCAGUACGUAGUUUCCUUUUGCCUGACUCUACAGAGAAGAGAAAGAUUCUGCCCUCUCAUCUUGCUUCUGCUGAGUCAACUGAAUGCAGACUAUUUUGAACUCAAUUUGCACCAAGAAGAAGGCUGAGGACAAAAAGAGAAAGUAGCAAGUGGAGCAAACCUGGGGACUUUUAAAACUGAGCUGAAAAAGCAAAUGACUAAUCAGGACAGUUGGGAGGGUCUGUUACAGUCUCUGGACGAAAUGUGUCAGAGAGGAGAAAGGAGACCAAUGAAAACUGGAGGCAACUCUAAGAGGGAGGAAAUGGAAGGUAGACUUCUUAAAGUGGCAGAAGUCUCCUCGUAGUUUGAAGCAAAAAGGAAUGGAAGGCUGUUACCCCAAACGCUGACAACAGUAUCGGCUCUUGGCUUUGCUCAAGGACAAGAGAGCAGUAUGCAAUCUGAAGGUCAUCUAAUUUCAAGCACUGACAGAUCAAUCUAUUAAAUUAUGACAGAUAUAUCUAUUACAUUAAGAGACAAAUAUGUCAAACUAUGUUUAAUGAGAAAUCAUCUAAUAAGGAGCACUCUCAGAUUCACUGGGCUGUUGCCCCCAUAUUGGCUGGAAUAUUCUUGGAAGCUGUGAUACAAAUACCAAUAAUAUUUCCAUGCUCCGCUAAUAAAUAUAUAACCAUAGUACAAAUUAGGAGCACCUAUCAUUUGUAACAUGCUAUAACAUUAUCCAUAUUACAGUGUCUGUCCCAAACAAAAUACAGCAACAAAAAAGUGUGCCAUGCCAGAGGCAUCUUUAAAAGAAAGUUUAUGUAAUGCUGCCAGAUGGUUAAGGCAAGUGAGUCAUAUAACAGGAUGCAGGGAUGAGGCCCUUUUCUAUGAACUAGUCAUAUGAGUCAUAUGUUAGCCUAGAGAGAAGAGUGCCCCACUAUACAGAUAUUAAAGAAUUUGGCAUCAUCAGGAAUAGUCCUUUUGCACCCUCAAGAAAUCUAGGCUAACAGGAAUAUUCAAUAAAAUCAAGAGGCUCUUUCCCACGACACAGUUAUAGCAUUAGGAUUCCACUUUAACUACCAUGACAUCUUUUAGCAUCCUAGGUUUUUCAGUUCCUAAAUGCCUUUCCAGAUUCAUAUCCAGACUACAGAUCCCAGGAUUCCACUGGCUACUGUUGAUGUAAUAUCAUGCCGGCUACAGGGACUCUGAUGCUAAAAAUGAAGCAUCAGCUGUAGAGUUAUGCUGCUUUUUAAUAUAAUUAAUCUGGUAAAAUAAUGUAACUCACCUAUACAUAGCUGGUAAAUCCAAAAGAUGGAUAUUUCAGUAUAAAUUACAAAUUUAAUUUGUGAAGGGAGAAUUCUCUGUAUUUUAACGUGGCCUCAACUCCACAAAAAUAAUACAUGUGUGUGUGGCAGGAAUGAGUGGGAAGGAAUCACACAGCACAGCAUCUCGGCUUGGAACCUAGGCUUGCUUUCUCCUUUCAGGAUUAGUUUUCAGCUGGGUAAAAGCCUUAUGUGGAACAGAUUAGUUCUGUCCGUGAUUAAACAAGAGUGCUUAUAUGAUCAUUGGUAUGCAGUAAAACCCAAAAGCAAGAGUUUCAUGGGUGAAACAUGGCUCCACCUUAAAUGGGAAGGAGCUCUCUAAAUGCUGCACAUAUACCCGCUCUGAGCAUUUCUUGGAUCAGAGAGAAACAGACGCUGUCGCAUCUGGCUAAAUUUAGCACAUCUCUGCAUUGUCUCUUUGAGCUGCUGUUGGUAGCAGUAUCUGAAAUGUAUGAAUCAACCAAAAGAGCUUUUGCCACUAAAAUCAAUCUGCAUCUGAGAUACCUGGUGUCCUCUCCCCCCACCCCACCCCCAAAAGAGGAUUAGAAGAUGGAGGCCUCAAUCCAAAUUUGGCAUCUGAAUCUAGAUUCUGUGUCGUUGUUGCUUUUUUUUUGGUGGGGGUACUUUGAGAGAUAGUCAAGAUAAGGAAAGCCAAACCUUUACUAUAAUAUUUUGGAUAACCUACCUAUAAUAUUGAGAGUGCUAUGUCAGUGCAUCACUAACAUUUUGGGGAGCAUUCUGUCAUUCUUUUGGGCAGCCUUAGUUUUGGUAUUUCAGCUUUUCAAACAGAAAUGAUUUCAAACAGAUCUAUAGUGAUAUGUGUUUGGAAUUUAUUAAUAUUUUUUCCAAAGGAGAAAAUGUUCUGUGAUCUUGAAAUAUCACCCUGAUGCAGUUAUGAAAGUCAGUUUCAUGUAUGCAUCCUGUAAGAUUAGGUACUUUUAAUAUUGAUUUUUCUUUCUUUCUAAAAGAAGCAUAGGUCUGUUUAUGUACAGUAGAUCACAUGCUGCUGUUAACAUUUUAGUCCAAAAAUAUCCCACUAUUCCUUGCUGAUUUUGUUAUAAGCAGAUGAAAAAAUUAACAUGUUUUUGGCAUUUGAAGAAAACCAUAAUAACAGAGAGGAAAUAAAUGAUUUCCCCAUUUGCACAGUAACAUAUCCAAAAUUGGCAGCUACAUACAGAAACACCCUGUAUUAUUGAAUUUGGCAUUCCUGGUUGCUUAUCAAAUAGCAAAUAUUAAAAGCUUUGGCAUAACAUAUAAAUCACACACAAAGUCUGACCCUCAGUAUAUUAUAUAAUUUCAUUUAUUUUUAAACAAGGCUUCUUUGCACUCAAGAUGCAGGAUGCGAAGGUGCAAUUUUAGAAUGGUUACUCAGCAAAACAGACAGCAAAUAAUCCCCAUAUAUGAAUUAGGCAACAUUUUUUUGCAACACCAUAUAUUUCUAGCUUUUUCCUUACCUGUAUUUUCUGAUUCUUUCAUUCUCCCUCUCCUCUCCUUGCUGCAGCUGGGCAGAGACAAACAAAACAGCCCAGCUGAUUGCUGAAAUGGUGACUUUUGAUUUGUCAUUCACAGCCAGUCAUAGGUCACGAAAGCUGCUUUCCUCAGUCCAAGGUAGCGAGGUGGUGAUAAUUUGCAUGAAACAGUGCUGGGUUAUAGUUCGGAUUAUAGAAAAUCAGAGGAAGGAUGAGGAUGCAAGAAGACAUAACAUAUUUUAUAAAAUCUGGCAUGGAUCAGGAGCUGGAGUCGAGAGGUUUUUCUCUCAGCACAUUUCUGGAGACCGCAUCCUACUUGUUCAUUAAACACAGAAUAAGCCAGAUUUUUUGUUAAUGUCAUCAAGAAAAUAAGAUGAUGCAAAAAUGCUAGAAGAUGUUCUUUGCAGAAAGGAUUUUUUUAAAAAAAAACUGGAUAUUUCAUUUCCUUUUUGAAUUUUUUUUCUGAGAAUGAUACUGCUGCCUCCAGAGUACAUGUAUAUUACAAAAAUUAUGAAUUCAACACAGAAUAAAGUAUUUAGUGUAGAAUG